rnacentral:rRNA from 1 species
UAGGGCGUUUAGUAUUUGGUCGUAGACCCGAAACCAGGUGAUCUACCCUUGGUCAGGUUGAAGUUCAGGUAACACUGAAUGGAGGACCGAACCGACUUACGUUGAAAAGUGAGCGGAUGAACUGAGGGUAGCGGAGAAAUUCCAAUCGAACCUGGAGAUAGCUGGUUCUCUCCGAAAUAGCUUUAGGGCUAGCCUCAAGUGAUGAUUAUUGGAGGUAGAGCACUGUUUGGACGAGGGGCCCCUCUCGGGUUACCGAAUUCAGACAAACUCCGAAUGCCAAUUAAUUUAACUUGGGAGUCAGAACAUGGGUGAUAAGGUCCGUGUUCGAAAGGGAAACAGCCCAGACCACCAGCUAAGGUCCCAAAAUAUAUGUUAAGUGGAAAAGGAUGUGGCGUUGCCCAGACAACUAGGAUGUUGGCUUAGAAGCAGCCAUCAUUUAAAGAGUGCGUAAUAGCUCACUAGUCGAGUGACACUGCGCCGAAAAUGUACCGGGGCUAAACAUAUUACCGAAGCUGUGGAUUGUCCUUUGGACAAUGGUAGGAGAGCGUUCUAAGGGCGUUGAAGCAUGAUCGUAAGGACAUGUGGAGCGCUUAGAAGUGAGAAUGCCGGUGUGAGUAG